UACGAAGGGAGCUAGCGUUGUUCGGAAUCACUGGGCGUAAAGCGCACGUAGGCGGAUGUGUCAGUCAGGGGUGAAAUCCCGGAGCUCAACUUCGGAACUGCCUUUGAUACAGCACAUCUGGAGUCCGGAAGAGGUGGGUGGAAUUCCUAGUGUAGAGGUGAAAUUCGUAGAUAUUAGGAAGAACACCGGUGGCGAAGGCAGCUCGCUGGAACGGUACUGACGCUGAGGCGCGAAAGCGUGGGGAGCGAACAGG
rnacentral:rRNA from 1 species